rnacentral:rRNA from 1 species
UACGUAGGGUGCAAGCGUUAAUCGGAAUUACUGGGCGUAAAGCGUGCGCAGGCGGUUUUGUAAGUCUGUCGUGAAAUCCCCGGGCUUAACCUGGGAACUGCAUUUGUGACUGCAUAGCUAGAGUACGGUAGGAGGGGGAUGGAAUUCCGCGUGUAGCAGUGAAAUGCGUAGAUAUGCGGAGGAACACCGAUGGCGAAGGCAAUCCCCUGGACCUGUACUGACGCUCAUGCACGAAAGCGUGGGGAGCAAACAGG